GCAGGAAGACAGAGGUGCCUGCGUGGCCGAGGCCUGGAAGGUCUGCACCAUGGUGCACAGAGGCCCCGGAGCUGGGUGAGGCCAGAAAGCUGCUCUGGGGUCAGCGGGGAAUGUGCCUGCUGAAUCUGCAAGCACCUGAGCUACGUCUUCACAAAUGGCCUCAGACCUAGAGUGCAGGGAGAUCCCCUGGCUUUUCUGAAGUGGUGGCCGGUGGUCUCCCGGGGAGCAGAACCUGGGCUGCUUACUUCCCUUACCCAGUGAGGGCCCGCGGGGAGCUCUUAAGUUGGGCAUCAUGGGUCUGCGUGAUGUGGCUGCUGUGCCCACAUCAGAGGGUUUUUGUUUCUUUUCCAAAGUCAAGCUGCACUAAUCUAGACCAGGGAUCCCCACCCCUGGGCUGUGGACCGGUCCCCAUGGGUGGCCUGUUAGGAACUGGACCGCACAGCAGGAGGUGGAACAGUUUAAUCCUGAAACCAUCCCCCCGUCUGUGGAAAAACUGCCUUCCACCAAACCAGUCCCUGGUGCCAAAAACGCUGGGAACCGCUAAUCUAGACAGUUCUCUGCUAAGGAAGCACGUGGUUGAGAAGCAUCAGAAUCGUUCCCACGGACCAUGCUCCGGAGUCUCAGCAGGCUCCUGCAGUGUGUUUAUCCGUGCAUCAUGAAGGACCCUCAUACGGCUGACGUGCCUUGGCUGAUGCGAGUAACACUGCAGCAAGCGUGGGAGUGCAGAUAGCUCUUGGAAAUACCCAUUUCCUUCAGAUGCAUACUCAGAGGUAGGAUUGCUGGAUUGUUUGGUCAUUUUGAUUUUUAAAAUUAAAAAGAAUUUUAAUUCUCAUAUUGUUUUGAGUAAAAUUAAAUUAUAACUUGUAAAGCAACUCCAUGUUUUUUAUAAUUUUUUAAAAAAAUAAUUGCUCUACCAAUUGACUGUCCCAACAACAACGUACAGGGGUAUUUUUUUUCCUCCGCAUCCUCACCACUUGUUACCUUUUGUCUUUUUAAUAAUAGCAAUCCUAAGACAUGUGAAGUGAUACCUCACUGUGAUUUUGAUUGGCAUUUUCCAGAUGAUUAGUCUAUUCAGGCCCUUUACUUUUUUUUGUUGUUGUUGUUGUUUUUGAGAUGGAUUCUCACUCUGUUGCCCAGGCUGGAGUGCGAUGGCACGAUCUCGGCUCACUGCAACCUCCGCCUUCCGGGGAGGAGUGAUUAGCCACCACGCCCGGCUAACUUUUGUAUUUUAGUAGAGAUGAGGUUUCACCAUGUUGGCCAGGCUGGUCUCGACCCCCUGAUCUCAGGUGAUCCACUUUGCCCAGCCUCCCAAAGUGUUGGGAUUACAGGUGUGAGCCACCACGCCCAGCCCCUUUGCUCUUUUUAAAUAGGAUUAUUACUAUUACAAUAUUUGCUUUUGAGUUGUGGGUGUUCCUUAUAUAUUUUGGAUAUAAACUCCUUAUCACAGGUAUGGUAUAUAUGGUUUGAAAUAUUUUCUCCCAUUAUCAUGCCCCAAUAUCACUAAGUUACAUUUCACUGCUCCCUCUUGAACACCUGAAAAAAUUUCCUAUUUCCAUGUGUCUGUAUCCAGGUUAUUGUCACUUUUACCUGAAGACACAUUUAUAUAUGCUGAUAUUCCCCAAUAACUAAUAUAUUUUUACUCUUUUUUUUUUUUUUUUUUUUUGAGAUGGAGUCCUGCUCUGUUACCCAGGGUGGAGUGCAGUGGCAUGAUCUCAGCUCACUGCAACCUCUGCCUCCCAGGUUCAAGUGAUUCUCCUGCCUCAGCCUCCCAGGUUGCUGGGAUUACAGGCACAUGCCACCACCACUAGCAAAUUUUUUUGUAUUUUUAUUAGAGAUGCGGUUUCACCAUAUGGGUCAGGCUGGUCUUGAACUCCGGACCUCAUAUGAUCCACCCGCCUUGGUCUCCCAAAGUGCUGGGAUUAUAGGCAUAAGCCGCUGCACCCGGCCCUAACUAAUAUAUUUUAAAUAACUUUUUGCUCUUGGCACAUGGACUAAAACCACAUCACCAGGCUUUCAAUGACAUCCAAUGUCUGCCAUCUUAUUUCCACUCCAGCUCCGCCCCAGGCAUAGUUGCCUUUCUUUUUAUUGAAGCCUUCUCCUUGCCAAGUUAAUUAAAGAGAAUGUUUUCUUCAUCAAAUUAGAAAUUACAUCCUCAGAGAAGCUUUCCAGUAUUUGUAGUUCUUACAGACCACAUUUAUUACAAGUUUAUAGACUCCAAACUUCUCCACUGAACAGUUAAUAAAAAGGACACAGGCUUAUUGUAAAAUAAUUCAUUUAGUGCCUGCCAUUCUGAUUACACUAGAAAUUUAGUUCUCCUGCUCCGCGUUCUGUUAUGUGACUGUUCAAUGCAUUACUUAAAACUGCAAGAUUGAAU
rnacentral:lncRNA from 1 species